UAGAGUUGCAAAGCUCCCCAAAACCACUGUGUAUCUCUUGCCCUUGUUGCCUCGGCGGAACGCUGCCCGGCGUCGCGACCCGGGAGAGCCCGCCGGCGGACCACCAAACUCGAGUUCUGUCUAGCGAGGCGUCUGAGCGCCGCGGCCGUCACGGCCGAGAGGGGAAGAAAACCGAAAAGAAAAAAAACUA
rnacentral:misc_RNA from 1 species